rnacentral:rRNA from 1 species
UACGGGGGGGGCAAGCGUUGUUCGGAAUUACUGGGCGUAAAGGGCUCGUAGGCGGCCAACUAAGUCCGACGUGAAAUCCCCAGGCUUAACCUGGGAACUGCGUCGGAUACUGGAUGGCUUGAAUUCGGGAGAGGGAUGCAGAAUUCCAGGUGUAGCGGUGAAAUGCGUAGAUAUCUGGAGGAAUACCGGUGGCGAAGGUGGCAUCCUGGACCGACAUUGACGCUGAUGAGCGAAAGCUAGGGGAGCAAACGGG